GUUGUCCUCAGUGACAGCCGCAGCAGUUAGAGGAAGUGUAACACAGUGUGCAGCUCUCACUCUGACUGUUUGGCCAGCACAAGUUUUUAUACAUGUGCCAUAUAAGAUGUAGUCCAUUGAUAGUCUCACAAGGAUGAAAGCAGUCACAGUGAUGAUUAUUUCCGCUUACCUCAUUACGUAAGGACCAAGCCACAGUAUGGCAUCCUGGAGAAAUUCUAGCAGUAUUCAUGUUAUGGACUCAGCAGCUGAAUAUGCUGCCAUUGAAUCUGAAAUCUACCGUAGCCUGCUAACCAUUAUAAGAGAAAUGGACACUGAGCAACCAGUUGUCAACAAAGGUAGGACUC
rnacentral:lncRNA from 1 species